rnacentral:rRNA from 1 species
UACGGGGGGAGCAAGCGUUGUUCGGAUUUACUGGGCGUAAAGGGCGCGUAGGCGGCCAGCACAAGUCAGUUGUGAAAUCUCCGAGCUUAACUCGGAACGGUCAACUGAUACUGUGCGGCUAGAGUGCGGAAGGGGCAACUGGAAUUCUUGGUGUAGCGGUGAAAUGCGUAGAUAUCAAGAGGAACACCGGUGGCGAAGGCGGCGUCCUGGACCAACACUGACACUGAUGAGCGAAAGCCAGGGGAGCAAACAGG